UACGGAAGGCAGCAGUGGGGAAUAUUGCACAAUGGGCGCAAGCCUGAUGCAGCCAUGCCGCGUGUAUGAAGAAGGCCUUCGGGUUGUAAAGUACUUUCAGUCGUGAGGAAGGUGUUAAGGUUAAUAACCUUAGCAAUUGACGUUAGCGACAAAAGAAGCACCGGCUAACUCCGUGCCAGCAGCCGCGGUAAUACGGAGGGUGCGAGCGUUAAUCGGAAUUACUGGGCGUAAAGGGCACGCAGGCGGUUAAUUAAGUUGGAUGUGAAAUCCCCGGGCUUAACCUGGGAAUGGCAUUCAAGACUGGUUAGCUAGAGUCUUGUAGAGGGGGUAGAAUUCCAUGUGUAGCGGUGAAAUGCGUAGAGAUGUGGAGGAAUACCGGUGGCGAAGGCGGCCCCUGGGACAAAGACUGACGCUCAUGUGCGAAAGCGUGGGGAGCAAACAGGGAUUAGAUACCCGU
rnacentral:rRNA from 1 species